UAUGUACGAGGUGUGAUGAGCGCGCGUAAGAGGUGACGAGGAGGUUGAAAGGAAAAAGGACCUGGAUAGCUGAACUGGUGGCGUUUGUGAGAGGUCACAGUAGCAAUAGCAGCAAUAGCAACAUAUUUCCUGUCAUCUGUAAACUGACUACCCCUAAAGGCGGUGAAUGUGUGGCAGACACAGAGUUGGUGCCUUGCAACAUCAUAUCAGUGGCUGGGACAUUGAAGUCAACGGUCGCGUAGAAGAUCGGAUAAGAGCAAAUAAGGAAGUGAAGAAGUAAAGUGUAGUGAAGUGGACUAGUAACGUGACUGUAAAGUGUAA